rnacentral:rRNA from 1 species
GACGAACGCUGGCGGCGUGCUUAACACAUGCAAGUCGAACGGAAAGGCCCUGCUUUUGUGGGGUGCUCGAGUGGCGAACGGGUGAGUAACACGUGUGUAACCUGCCCUUGACUUUGGGAUAACUUCAGGAAACUGGGGCUAAUACCGGAUAGGAGCUCCUGCUGCAUGGUGGGGGUUGGAAAGUUUCGGCGGUUGGGGAUGGACUCGCGGCUUAUCAGCUUGUUGGCGGGGUAGUGGCUUACCAAGGCUUUGACGGGUAGCCGGCCUGAGAGGGUGACCGGCCACAUUGGGACUGAGAUACGGCCCAGACUCCUACGGGAGGCAGCAGUGGGGAAUAUUGCACAAUGGGCGGAAGCCUGAUGCAGCAACGCCGCGUGCGGGAUGACGGCCUUCGGGUUGUAAACCGCUUUCGCCUGUGACGAAGCGUGAGUGACGGUAAUGGGUAAAGAAGCACCGGCUAACUACGUG